GCUAAUUUUGGUAUUUUUGUAGAGACAGGGUUUCACCAUGUUGGUCACGCUGUUCUCAAACUCCUGACCUCAAGUGAUCCACCCGCCUCGGCCUUACAAGCGUGAGUUACUGCACCCAGCCUGAAUCAAAGUUUUAACAUUGUCUCUUCCUCUGGGUGGCAAACGUGUCCAGUCAGGACAGAGUAUGUCCCGUGUGAAGUCACCCUGAGGAUUUGAGCAGGGGGUGGAACUCCAGACCCUCGUCUGAAGAACUGGUGGGACCCUGACCAGGUCCGGUUGUCCUGUCUGCGUAUGCAGGCCAGUGAGGUGCUGAGGUUGCGGCAGUGACAGCAGCGCUGAGGGCCAGCUUCAGGAGGACGCUCCUCAAGCCAAACAAAAAGUCUUCUCAAAAAAAUGGAGCUAAAGAUGGUCCCUUGGUGUGGCGUCUCAGUGCUGCUGCUGAAGUAUCUCCCAGGCCACCAGAAAGUUAAUCUGAGGAGGCAUUUUCCUCUUCCGAUUAGGCGGCUGUUCCGGCAGAAAUGGCUCAAGGAGAAAUUCUCCUGCCAGACUCAGUGUCUGCUAGGUGAAACUUCACUGGCGCAUUGCCAGCCCUGGCGCCCAAAUCUCUUUAAAUUAUGAGGUCAUAGAAUGCAUGCUUAAAGUCCCAGGCCUGUCAAGUUGCUCAGGGACAUUCAUACUGAGGAUUCAUUAAGAUAUUAAUUUGGUUAUCAGGAGUCUGGAUGGGGAUGAGAGGAGUGAAUUUUUAUUACAUGCUGGGAAAAUCAGAAUCAGCCCUCUAAUUGACUACGACUACUCUUUGCUGUCCCAAGAUGACUUUGCCAAAAAGCUGUGAGAAAAAGUCCUCAGAUCUCAAAGAUUCACUUGGUUACACCAGCUCGCUGGUGAGCCUGUGACUGCAGAGCCUCGGGAAGGCUGGAAGUUCUGGCUAGACUUCUGCUUUGCUCCGCCUGCUUGCCAGGGGCUUGGAGAAGUGUUUUGUUUUGUUUACUUUUUAGGAGAGUAUUCAAAGCACGUUCACAGUAAGAAAAAAAGACAGCCUGUGUCUUUAGGGACAGGGAGACUCUGAUUCCAGCACAGCUGACUGCCCAGCAACCCCAGAACUGGAAGGCUGGGCCCUGGGCUGCUCCUCACGGUCGGGGGAGCAUGGGCUGCUCAGCGGGGGGCCAAGAAGCAAAGUCAGGGUGCUGUCCUGUGGCUGGGGAGUGGGCUCAACUGGGAUAAGGGAAGCCCGGGGUGGGGCAUUGGCACGGAGCUGGGAGAUGAAUUACAGGAAGGAACUGGCAUGGCCUGAACUGCCCAGUGGCUUCUGCCUGGGAACACAGUUUACAGUAAGCUGAGUGGUCAGGAGACCUCAGGAGAGGGGAGUGUUGAUGAUUCAGGUGUUUGGUUGGUGAUCAUGUUAUCAAGACGGACUUGCAGUUAAGGUCGUGUCCCAGACGUUUGUUCAGAGGGCUCCUUCCCACUUCCACCUUCUCAUCUGUAAUGCCGACUAAUGGGAAACCUGGCCCAUGUCAGAUUUAUAUUAGGAACCACUGAUUUCUAUUUACAGGCUUUUUCCAUUGAAGAAUUUAAAGAUCUCAGAAGUCAUAUUUUUGUUAAGGCAUCAGAGGUCUCCCGGGGGACAGACACAGUCUCCAUCUUGACCAGGAAUGGUGAGACCACCCUUCUCCCUAUAAGGGAGAAGUAGCGUGUGUGGGACCACCCACCCACACAGCUGUCCCCUCACAGGGUGCCUCUUGUUCUUGCAGGUCACCAGGUGCUCUGAGCUGCCCUGCCUGGGCUCAGGCAUCAGCACUGUCCCAUCUGAGCUGUCACCUUGACCUUUCCGUAGGCCUCUGUCCUUGUCCGUGUCAGGGGGUGAUAGCCCCUCUGUGCUUUCAACUGAAGAGGAGUAGUGGGCUGAGAAGAGCUACGGGAAUACCAGCAUGCAGAAAAUACCCAGUAAUGAUGAACCGUUCCUUACAAGAAUUAAAAGUGAAAAUAGGAGGAAAAAUUAAUAAGAUAAAAUACAAUGGGAAAUAAUUAUUUAAGGAAAUUUCUUAAUCCACAAGCAGUAAAUAAGAAACUCCUAUUUCCUAGCAGCUGAAAGAUGUUUUUGCACUUGAGGCUAUGAAGCUGGGCAGGGUUUCAGCUGAGCUGAGGUUGGAAGUCCCUGACCUUCAGCUGUGUCUGCCUGGGGAGAGGCAGGAAGAGCAAACCCAUGCUCAGGCUAGACCCCAGCAGCACCCAAAGCGUGGAUGGAGCCACCAGCCUUCACUCCCCCGCCCUCCUUUCUUACUCCCGACCUGCGAACCUUAGCCUAAAAUCAGAGCUACUAAAAUCACACACACUGUUGUAGCUGGUUUUUUAUUGUAAAUGAGUCAUUCUGUUAUUUUGGAAACUUAUGUCUCAUGCCAGGAUCUGCAGAUAGUUCUUUUUCAAAAAACUGUUUAGACAAAAUAAAUUUCUUUAAAUAUAAUAUCUGUAAAUGCCUGGGGUGAUGCAUGCAUUUUUCUAGGCUGGCAAAGCUUGACGAUUAUUUCUGUAAUUUCAGUUAUAUUUACUUCCAUAUAUGCGUUACUCCAAAUAACAAACAAACAUGGAUUUUCUAACUUUGGCUUUAAAUCCCAAGAAGUGAUGGGUAAUAAUAAAAGAGCAUCAAAAAGAAAUAGAGAGUGAAGGUAUAUAUCGGGCAGAUGCAGAAGAAGAGCAGAGGUCAUGACAUUCAUGCUGGGCAAAGCUAAAUUGUGAAGACAACAGUGAUCAGUGACGCAGGAUUACUCAUCACGCUACAGCACAGUCCGUAGGAUGACGUAACUACCAUGAACGUGUGUGGCCUGCAAGAUUGAACAUUGAAACAUGUACAGCAAGAACUGUAGGGAAUUAAUGACAAAGUUGCUGAGUGUAGUGCUGGUGGGAGACGCACCCGGGCUUCCUGGCCUUGUACAGGUCAUGGAGUACACAUCAGCUGUCAUUACUGUGAGCCGGGAGAGACUUUCAGGUUCAGUGGCUGAAAAACAAACAUUCAUGGUAUAAGUUUUUAAACUUAAUAUAUAAUAGUUUGCAGAGAAAACCAAUGUGAUUUCCAAAAAUUUGAAAUAAUUAGAAACCUUAUUCUCACAUUAUAAUACAGUAAAAAUAGAAAUAAACACACAGGUGGAAACCAGGCAUACCUGGGAGUCCCUUCAUCACUCAAGCAAAACUUCCAUGGAGGCAAGGACCGUAGGUUUUGUUGAAAGCUUUAUCUUUGACCUCUAGAAUACUAGCACUAAGUAGACUCUGAACAAAUAUUGUUAAAUGAAUAAGAGCUAAUAAUCAUCAUAACUAUGCUGAAAGCACUAUUCUAAGCAUGGUGCAUUUACUAUCUCACUCGGUCCUCACAGUCCUCGUUUGAGGGAGGUGCUCCCCUCACCCCCAUUCCACAGAUGGGGGGAUGCAAAGCAUGGGCUCCAGAAUUGACAGCUGGCAAGUAGGAGACUGAGAUUCAGGCUGGGCUGUCAGACUUGGCUGUGGUCUCAUGUACAGAACCACCAUGGCCUCCAAAUGAAUGAAAAAAUGAGAAAAGGUAAUGGCUUACAGAGUUAAUGUGUAAAGACUGUUAUUAAAUAAGAAUGAAACAAAAUGAUUUAAACACUAAAGAGGUAGAAAAGAACCAAAAUAAUCAAAGAAGUACUGUGUUCUUUAAAAGACAAAAGCAGAAAUGAAUCAACUAAGAAAAGGAGAGAAUGAAACCCAGGAGCUGUUUGGAAGGGGGCAGAUGGCGGGUGACGCGGGGAGAGUCAAGACAAGUGGACAGACCUGGAG